AACGAACGCUGGCGGCAUGCCUAACACAUGCAAGUCGAACGAGACCUUCGGGUCUAUGGGCGCACGGGUGCGUAACGCGGGGGAACCUGCCCUUAGGUUCGGAAUAACUCCCCGAAAGGGGUGCUAAUACCGGAUAAUGUCUUCGGACCAAAGAGUUAUGGCCUUUGGAUGGGCCCGCGUUGGAUUAGCUAGUUGGUAGGGUAAAAGCCUACCAAGGCGACGAUCCAUAGCUGGUCUGUGAGGAUGAUCAGCUACACUGGGACUGAGACACGGCCCAGACUGCUACGGGAGGGAGCAGUGGGGAAUACUAGGCAAUGGGCGAUAGCCUGAUAAAGCAAUGCCGCGUAAGUGAUGAAGGGCUUAGGGUUGUACAGCUGUUUUACACGGGAUGAUAAUGACGGUAACGGGAGAAUAAGCUCCGGCUAACUCCGUG
rnacentral:rRNA from 1 species